UACGUAGGGGGCAAGCGUUGUCCGGAAUCAUUGGGCGUAAAGAGCGUGUAGGUGGCCCGGUCAGUCCGCCGUGAAAGUCCAGGGCUCAACCCUGGAAUGCCGGUGGAUACUGCCGGGCUGGAGUCCGGAAGAGGCGAGUGGAAUUCCUGGUGUAGCGGUGAAAUGCGCAGAUAUCAGGAGGAACACCAAUGGCGAAGGCAGCUCGCUGGGACGGUACUGACACUGAGACGCGAAAGCGUGGGAGCAACAGG
rnacentral:rRNA from 1 species